UGAGGGACAUGACCUUCGGCGGGGGAUAGCCGGCCCAACGGCCGGGUAAUACCGCGUACGACCUUUUGGGGACAUCCCCGAUGGGUGAAAGCAGCAAUGCGCCGAAAGAGUGCCUCGCGGCCUAUCAGCUAGUUGGUGAGGUAACGGCUCACCAAGGCAACGACGGGUAGCUGGUCUGAGAGGAUCGGCCAGCCACAGUUGGGACUGGACGACACGGCCCAGACUCCGUACGGGNGCCAGCGAGG
rnacentral:rRNA from 1 species